UUCAUCAUAGACUUGCCCAAAGCCGCAUCAGCAUCAUUGUGCAUUCCCCUGAUAUUAGUAUAACCUUCUUGUUUUUCUUUUUUAAAAAAGAUUCUGCAGUCAGCUAUCCAAUCUGUAAAUUGUCAUUCUUGUUCUGUAAAAGAAUUCAGAAGUUGAGAAUACCAAUCAUAAAUAUUUUGUUACCUUUAUUUGCUUUCUUGUGCUAGCUUUGACUUUUGUACCUUGAAACUAGUUACAUUGGAUCAAGUUCUAAAUACAUGCCAUUGAUUCAUUUGGUUUCAUUUGUCUAAUCUGUACUGUACUUUUAUGUUAACGUUCAGCCAACUCAGUAAAACGUACCAAGUUUGAAUUUCCACUCAACAGCUAUUUUUCAUUCUCAAAGUAAAAAUGGAGAGGUAUUAUUUAGAAACUAAACUAUGAAAGUACGAAUAGCAUGUUAUGAACAUUUGUUCUAAUGAAAAGGAAAUAGCAGUCAAUAGCUACUUUUUACUUUGAAUCAUAAUUUUAGCCACUAAAUGAUGAUUUUAAAUGUUUUUAUUAUUCCAAAUUUGGUUUUAAUAAUUUCGAUUGUUUUCAAAUGGUCAGACUAAUUAGUAAAUAUUUGAUACAGCGUAAUAGCAGAUUGCACAAAGAAAAAGUCAUUUGGAUAAAUUAGAGUGAGGGAGGAAAUUCAAUUGGAGAAAACAAAUGGAAAAUAUGCCAUCAGCCAAAGUUCUUUUAAGAUUUCAUAAUUUAAAUUCCUUGCAAUUCUAGACAAAGAAAUAAAGAAAAAUGAAAUUGAAGAACACUAUUGACAAAUGAGGUUGCUUGGUACAAAUUGAAGUUACUAUAUGUUUUUCUUGAAUUAAAUAAGCGCAAAAUAUAGAAAAAGAAACUUUGGAAGUUAAUGUCAAAUUGAAAUUCUUAAUUAAUUGAUCAUCUUUUUAAUAAUGCUAUGGUCACCUUCAACUGUGUAGCUUUCCCUCUAUCAGUAUUAAAAUUAUUAGCUUCUGUUACUUGUGGCGUUCACAAAUAAAGAAGGUCAAUCUACAACAUACAAUCACCAAAACUUCUGACUUUUGAAUAAUUUGAUUAAGUCAUAUAGUAAUAUAUAACAUUAUAACUUAUUCAAACCCAAUGAUGAAUAAAAGGUUCAAGUUUUAAAGCUUACAAAAAGAAAAAUUGUUUAGCCAAGCUGAUGGAUUUCUCACACAUCUUUCUCUUCUUCUUCCUCUUCUUCUUCCCCACUUUAAUCACAGCUCAAAGUUGCUCUGUUUCCAAGUGUAUCAACGAUGACUUCGCCAUCAGAUUCCCCUUUCGAAUUCCAGACCAGCAACCUGCAAGAUGUGGCUAUCCUGGUUUCAACUUAGCCUGCAACAAAGCGGGUGUGACGACUGUAAAUCUAUCAGCUUCUGAGUAUUUUUUGGUCAGGGGUAUCGAUUAUGCCACUCAACAAAUACAGCUCUAUGAUUCAGAUGAUUGCCUACCUGGAAGACUUCUUCAAGGCUUCAACAAAAUCAAUUUCUCAAACUCCCCAUUUAUGCCACUUUUUAGUCAGAAUAUUACCUUUCUAAGCUGCCCACCUCGGUUCACAAUGUCGCAUUUUCCCAUCAUUGAUUGUCUUAGCAAUUCAACAACCUCGAUUCUGGCUACUUCCUCAACGAGUUUUGUCAAGUCAAUGUCAACCUCUUGCACGAUCAUGAAAACUUUACCUGUCCCAGUUUCAAACCCAGAUGAGACCAAUCAAUUUUCAACCGACCUCAAUGGUGAUCUCGUGCUAACUUGGGACAGCCCUGCUUGCGGUAUCUGCGAAACAGAAGGCAGGCUUUGUGGGUACAAAAGCAAUAGCGGUCAGGGAAUUUCCUGUUUCGACAAAUACACAUCAGGUAAAGGCUCUGCCCUUAACUAUUUCCUAAGUUUAUGUUUAAACUAUACCAUACCUAAAAGCUCAAAAAUUCAUCUUUUACAAUCGGUGGAAUGAUUUCUUAAACAUCUCUUGUAUCCUAAUUGGUUGAGAAAAAUCUCAAAGCAAAUACGUAAUAAAAUAUUGAAAAAAGAAAAGGAAAAAAAAAAACCCCAUUAUUUUCUUAAAAUCAUAAUAACAAAUCAAUGUCCAAAUAACACUGGCGGUAUUACCUAUUACCCUAAACUGCAGGCUGCUGUAUGAAUCUUCGACUGGCUGUUGGUUGACCAAGACAUAAAUAAUGUUUAUAUUUCUGGGAAAUUGGGAUUAAAGUAAUACCUGAAGAAUAAUUUUUCUUUUUUUUAAAAAAAGUUGACUUUUUAGAUGGUGAAGGAAUGACAAAGACACUUGACAUUUCUUCACUGUUGCACGUCUCUUAAUAAUCUUCAAACGGGAUCAAAUAUGCUUUGACAUUGCUUGGGAACCCCACCCCGCGCCCUCGCACCCACACUCACAGGAAAAAUGCCAUUCAUGAUAUAUUUUGCAAGAAUAUCAAAGUUCAUGAUACCCAAUUAAAUGAUAGUAACCUUAAAUUUCAGAGGAAAACAAUGGUCUCAGAGUGCUGCGGAUUAUCUGUGUGGUGAUUCUUCUUCCGACUUUGAUCUGUGUCUUUGGACUUGGCUGUUUUAUCUGCUUGGCAAAGUGGAGCUAUAGCCUUACAGACGGCAGAGGAAAC
rnacentral:lncRNA from 1 species